GAUGAACGCUGGCGGCGUGCCUAAUACAUGCAAGUCGAGCGAACAGACGAGGAGCUUGCUCCUCUGACGUUAGCGGCGGACGGGUGAGUAACACGUGGAUAACCUACCUAUAAGACUGGGAUAACUUCGGGAAACCGGAGCUAAUACCGGAUAAUAUAUUGAACCGCAUGGUUCAAUAGUGAAAGACGGUUUUGCUGUCACUUAUAGAUGGAUCCGCGCCGCAUUAGCUAGUUGGUAAGGUAACGGCUUACCAAGGCAACGAUGCGUAGCCGACCUGAGAGGGUGAUCGGCCACACUGGAACUGAGACGCCGUCCAGACUCCUACGGGAGGCAGCAGUAGGGAAUCGUCCGCAACGGGCGAAAGCCUGACGGAGCAACGCCGCGUGAGUGAUGAAGGUCUUCGGAUCGUAAAACUCUGUUAUUAGGGAAGAACAAAUGUGUAAGUAACUAUGCACGUCUUGACGGUACCUAAUCAGAAAGCCACGGCUAACUACGUG
rnacentral:rRNA from 1 species